GAAUUUUGGAAAUUGGAAAUUAAAUUCGGAAAUUGGAAUUUUGAAGAAUUAUUUAAAAAUCGAAGUUUUAAAAAUUAAAUUUGAGAAUAUGUUUUUUUUUUUUUUUUUUUAUUCACUUGGUUCAAACUCUUAAUGCAAUUCUUCUACUCCUAAACCAUUUUCCCCACAAAAUUUGCAGCUUCCAAAUUUGUUUCCUAGAAGUAUGAAUUUAAUACUUUCCAACAGCAAUAGAAUCAUAUUGAUUGAAC
rnacentral:lncRNA from 1 species